UCCAGACUCCUACGGGAGGCAGCAGUGAGGAAUAUUGGUCAAUGGGCGGAAGCCUGAACCAGCCAAGUCGCGUGAGGGAAGAAGGCCCUGCGGGUCGCAGACCUCUUUGGACGGGGAGCAAGGCCGCCGACGUGUCGGCGGAAGGAGAGUACCCGUAGAACAAGCAUCGGCUAACUCCGUGCCAGCAGCCGCGGUAAUACGUAGGGGGCAAGCGUUAUCCGGAUUUACUGGGUGUAAAGGGAGUGUAGGUGGCAUAACAAGUCAGAAGUGAAAGCCCGGGGCUCAACCGCGGGACUGCUUUUGAAACUGUUAAGCUUGAGUGCAGGAGAGGUAAGCGGAAUUCCUAGUGUAGCGGUGAAAUGCGUAGAUAUUAGGAGGAACACCAGUGGCGAAGGCGGCUUACUGGACUGUAACUGACACUGAGGCUCGAAAGCGUGGGGAGCAAACAGGAUUAGAUACCCGGGUA
rnacentral:rRNA from 1 species